GCGGGGCCGUGGGUGUACGCGGCGCAGCGCGGCAGCCCUGAUGGCCCGGCAUGGGUUACCGCUGCUGCCCCUGCUGUCGCUCCUGGUCGGCGCGUGGCUCAAGCUAGGAAAUGGACAGGCUACUAGCAUGGUCCAACUGCAGGGUGGGAGAUUCCUGAUGGGAACAAAUUCUCCAGACAGCAGAGAUGGUGAAGGGCCUGUGCGGGAGGCGACAGUGAAACCCUUUGCCAUCGACAUAUUUCCUGUCACCAACAAAGAUUUCAGGGAUUUUGUCAGGGAGAAAAAGUAUCGGACAGAAGCUGAGAUAUUUGGAUGGAGCUUUGUCUUUGAGGACUUUGUCUCUGAUGAGCUGAGAAACAAAGCCACCCAGCCAAUGAAGGUCAAGUUUACCCAUGGGGGAACUGGUUCCAGCCAAACCGCACCAACCUGUGGCAGGGAAAGUUCCCCAAGGGAGACAAAGCUGAGGAUGGCUUCCAUGGAGUCUCCCCAGUGAAUGCUUUCCCCGCCCAGAACAACUACGGGCUCUAUGACCUCCUGGGGAACGUGUGGGAGUGGACAGCAUCACCGUACCAGGCUGCUGAGCAGGACAUGCGCGUCCUCCGGGGGGCAUCCUGGAUCGACACAGCUGAUGGCUCUGCCAAUCACCAGGCCCGGGUCACCACCAGGAUGGGCAACACUCCAGAUUCAGCCUCAGACAACCUCGGUUUCCGCUGUGCUGCAGAUGCAGGCCGGCCGCCAGGGGAGCUGUAAGCAGCCGGGUGGUGACAAGGAGAAAAGCCUUCUAGGGUCACUGUCAUUCCCUGGCCAUGUUGCAAACAGCACAAUUCCAAGCUCGAGAGCUUCAGCCUCAGGAAAGAACUUCCCCUUCCCUGUCUCCCAUCCCUCUGUGGCAGGCGCCUCUCACCAGGGCAGGAGAGGACUCAGCCUCCUGUGUUUUGGAGAAGGGGCCCAAUGUGUGUUGACGAUGACUGGGGGCCAGGUGUUUCUGUUAGAGGCCAAGUAUUAUUGACACAGGAUUGCAAACACACAAACAAUUGGAACAGAACACUCUGAAAGGCCAUUUGUUAAGCAUUUUAAAAUCUAUUCUCUCCCCCUUUCUCCCUGGAUGAUUCAGGAAGCUGACAUUGUUUCCUCAAGGCAGAAUUUUCCUGGUUCUGUUUUCUCAGCCAGUUGCUGUGGAAGGAGAAUGCUUUCUUCGUGGCCUCAUCUGUGGUUUCGUGUCCCUCUGAAGGAAACUAGUUUCCACUGUGUAACAGGCAGACAUGUAACUAUUUAAAGCACAGUUCAGUCCUAAAAGGGUCUGGGAGAACCAGAUGAUGUACUAGGUGAAGCAUUGCAUUGUGGGAAUCACAAAGCAAAUAGUACUCCAGAAAGACAAAUAUCAGAAGCUUCCUAUUCUUUUUUUUUUUUUUUUUUUGAGACAGGGUCUUUCUCUGUUGCCCAGGCUAGAGUGCAGUGGUGAUCACGGCUCACUCUAGCCUUGAACUCCUGGGCCCAAGCAAUUCUCCCACCUCAGCCUCCUGAGUAGCUGGGACUACAAGUGUGCACCACCAUGCCUGGCUAAUUUUUUGAAUUUUUAUAGUGAUGGGAUCUCACUCUGUUGCCCAGGGUGGUCUCGAACUCCUGGCCUCAAGCGAUCCUCCCACCUCGACCUCCCAAAGUGCUGGGAUUACAGGUGUGAGCCACCUCGCCUGGGCCCCCUUCUCCAUAUGCCUCCAAAAACAUGUCCCUGGAGAGUAGCCUGCUCCCACACUGUCACUGGAUGUCAUGGGGCCAAUAAAAUCUCCUGCAAUUGUGUAUCUCAGACAUUUGUGUGUCUUUGAUCCUCACCCUGUGACCCUAAGGGAAGAAAGCCUGAGUGUCAGUAACUCUGGGCCUCCCCUAAAGAGAAAUGGAGAUGGUGGCUCAUCUAGGAAGUAGAGGAGCAGGGGGUUCCUGGUUCUCAGGCCACGUGUGAUCUCUGCCCACCCAGGGCCUGCCCCAGCCUGCAGGUAUUGCUGUGUGGUGGGAACACCCACUUCCCUUGUGCACAGCCUUUGAGAGGGGAUCGUGGCCUCAGCUCCAGGGGUUCCUGGCCAGGGCCAAGUGCUCCUUCUGCAGAGGCCUGCACGCAUCUCACCCCUUUGACUUGUAUUUCCAUGGCUUCCCCUCCCCACCUGCCCCCUAGCCCUCCCUGACUGGCCAGCCCCUCAGUAGUCCUCCUCGGCCAGGGAGAGGAGCACGGCCUUGGGUGUGUUCUCGAAAAGGGCUGCCCGGUUCUGCUGCUGCCCCUUCUUCACCCAGUGGCCAUAGAUUCGGAAAGCGUAGGCGUCGAUGAGCCGGCGCAGAGGCCGGAGGGCAUAGGGGUCUCGGAUGACGAUCUCCCGGGUCACAGGCUUCACCCGGCGGUACUGGUAGUAGAUCCGCACUGAAGCCAGCACGGUCAGAGCGAUCACCUGCAGGGCCAGGCGGAGAAGCUGGGCUGCAGCCCCCGCCCUGCCAGGCCCUGCCCCUCCAGCACAGGGACGCUCUGGGCUCGUUUGCCACGAAGCCUUGGGUGGCUUCUGCGGGGCCUUCCUAGUGUCCCC
rnacentral:lncRNA from 1 species